CUAUCCCCAUGUGAGCGGCUCAGCUUCUUAGGAGAAUGACGUAGCAUGCUACGCG
rnacentral:misc_RNA from 1 species